rnacentral:rRNA from 1 species
AAGGGCACCACAAGAACGCGUGGAGCAUGUGGCUUAAUUUGACUCAACCCGGGAAAUCUUACCAGGUCCAGACAUAUUGAGGAUUGACAGGCGAUAGUAUAUAAAAUAUAUUUUUAUAUGCAUAAAAAUGAUAGUCCUUUCAUGAUUAUAUGAUAGGUGGUGCAUGGCCGUUCUUAGUUCGUGGAGUGAUUUGUCUGCUUAAUUGCGUUUCAGUAAAUAAAAUAUAUAAUAUAUUAUAAUAUUUAGUUCUGCCAUUUAUUUAUGGAUUUAAAGUGAACAUAUUAUAUAUAUUAUUAUAUAAUAAAUGAAUGCAACGAACGUGACCGUAACCUUUUAUUGCUAUUGAAAAUUAUAAUUAUAGCAUAAAAUUAAAGGAACCGCUGUCAUUACUAAAUAUGUGUUAAAAUAGAGUAAGAUUAUGGCAAUAACAGGUCUGUGAUGCCCUCAGAUGUUCUGGGCUGCACACGUGCUACAAUAAUUACAUUAAUAAGUAUAUAUACUUUAUAAUAUAUAAUAUUAUAUUACAACCUAUUUCGAAAGUAAAUCGGUAAUCAUUUAAAAAUCGUGAUUAAUUAAUAUAAAUAUAAUUAAUUUAAGGUGGGGAUAGUGUAUUGUUAAUUAUUACACUUGGCCUUAACUAGGAAUGCCUUGUACUCUUCUUUGGUUUAACAUACCAAGAGGAAUACGUCCCUGCCCUUUGUACACACCGGCCGUCGCUCUUACCGAUGAAUUAUAUUAUAAAUCUAAGGGAUUUAUUAUAAUUAAAAUAUAAAAAACUUAUAUACAUAAUGUGAUUUAAAGGAAAGAGAAGUCGUAACAAGGCAUCAGUAGGUGAACCU